AGAGUUUGAUCCUGGCUCAGGAUGAAUGCUGGCGGCGUGCCUAACACAUGCAAGUCGAGCGGUAACAGGGGUAAUUUAUUACCUGCUGACGAGCGGCGAACGGCUGAGUAACACGUGGGAACAUGCCCCAAAGUGAGGGAUAAGCUCCAGAAAUGGAGUCUAAUACCGCAUAUGAUCUUCGGAUUAAAGGAUUUAUCCGCUUUGGGAGUGGCCUGCGUACGAUUAGAUUGUUGGUGAGGUAAUGGCUCACCAAGUCUACGAUCGUUAGCUGGUCUGAGAGGAUGACCAGCCAGACUGGAACUGAGACACGGUCCAGACUCCUACGGGAGGCAGCAGUGAGGAAUCUUCCACAAUGGGCGAAAGCCUGAUGGAGCAACGCCGCGUGCAGGAUGAAGGCCCUCGGGUCGUAAACUGCUUUUAUAAGCGAAGAAUAUGACGGUAACUUAUGAAUAAGCACCGGCUAACUACGUG
rnacentral:rRNA from 1 species